rnacentral:rRNA from 1 species
GAUGAACGCUGGCGGCGUGCUUAACACAUGCAAGUCGAACGAAGCACUGUAUUUGUUUUCCUUCGGGACUGAGUAUUUUGUGACUGAGUGGCGGACGGGUGAGUAACGCGUGGGUAACCUGCCUUGUACAGGGGGAUAACAGAUGGAAACGGCUGCUAAUACCGCAUAAGCGUACAUCAUCGCAUGAUGCUGUGUGAAAAACUCCGGUGGUAUAGGAUGGACCCGCGUUGGAUUGGCUAGUUGGUGAGUUAACGGCCCACCAAGGCGACGAUCCCUAGACGACAUGAGAGAGUGACCGGCCACAUUUACACUAGGACACAGCACAAACUCCUACGCGAUGCGGCAGUGGCGGAUAUUGCACAAUGGGCGAAGGCCUGAUGCAGCGACGCCGCGUGAGCGAAGAAGUAUUUCGGUAUGUAAAGCGCUAUCAGCUGGGCACAUAUUGACGGUACCUGACUAAAAAGCACCGGCUAACUACGUG